UACGGAGGGUGCAAGCGUUAUCCGGAUUCACUGGGUUUAAAGGGUGCGUAGGCGGGCAGGUAAGUCAGUGGUGAAAUCUUCGAGCUUAACUCGGAAACUGCCUUUGAUACUAUCUGUCUUGAAUAUGGUGGAGGUAAGCGGAAUAUGUCAUGUAGCGGUGAAAUGCUUAGAGAUGACAUAGAACACCUAUUGCGAAGGCAGCUUACUACGCCUAUAUUGACGCUGAGGCACGAAAAGCGUGGGGAUCAAACAGG
rnacentral:rRNA from 1 species